rnacentral:lncRNA from 1 species
UAUACUAUGCUUCACAUGUUUUUUUAAAUUUUUUCUCAUCUUAGAAAAUUCAUAUCAAUUUGAAAACUCAUCCAAAAAAUACCAGGUUUUUUGCAUUGAGAUCGUUGUUCUCUCUAGUUUUUUAUCAUCAUGAUUUUACAAGUUGUGCUUGGCUGGAUAAUUUUUUGUGCUAGAAUGUUUGAACAUGUGUCCUUAUUUGAC